UACGGAGGGGGCUAGCGUUGUUCGGAAUUACUGGGCGUAAAGCGCACGUAGGCGGCUUUGUAAGUUAGAGGUGAAAGCCCUGGGCUCAACUCAGGAAGUGCACCCGAUACUACGUGGCUCGAGUACCGGAGAGGUUGGUGGAAUUCUCGGUGUAGAGGUGAAAUUCGUAGAUAUCGAGAGGAACACCUGUGGCGAAGGCGGCCAACUGGACGAGUACUGACGCUGAGACACGAAAGCGUGGGGAGCAAGCAGG
rnacentral:rRNA from 1 species